GACGAACGCUGGCGGCGCGCCUAACACAUGCAAGUCGAACGAGCGAGAGAGAGCUUGCUUUCUCGAGCGAGUGGCGAACGGGUGAGUAACGCGUGAGGAACCUGCCUCAAAGAGGGGGACAACAGUUGGAAACGACUGCUAAUACCGCAUAAGCCCACGGGUCGGCAUCGACCAGAGGGAAAAGGAGCAAUCCGCUUUGAGAUGGCCUCGCGUUCGAUUAGCUAGUUGGUGAGGUAAUGGCCCACCAAGGCGACGAUCGGUAGCCGGACUGAGAGGUUGAACGGCCACAUUGGGACUGAGACACGGCCCAGACUCCUACGGGAGGCAGCAGUGGGGAAUAUUGCACAAUGGGGGAAACCCUGAUGCAGCGACGCCGCGUGGAGGAAGAAGGUCUUCGGAUUGUAAACUCCUGUUGUUGGGGAAGAUAAUGACGGUACCCAACAAGGAAGUGACGGCUAACUACGUG
rnacentral:rRNA from 1 species